UACGAAGGUGGCAAGCGUUACUCGGAAUUACUAGGCGUAAAGCGCAUGUAGGUGGCUUGGUAAGUCUGCUGUGGAAGCUCCUGGCUUAACUGGGAGAGGUCAGCAGAAACUGCCAAGCUUGAGUGUGGGAGAGGGUACUGGAAUUCCCGGUGUAGCGGUGAAAUGCGCAGAGAUCGGGAGGAACACCAAUGGCGAAAGCAGGUGCCUGGACCAUUACUGACACUAAGCUGCGAAAGCUAGGGGAGCAAACAGG
rnacentral:rRNA from 1 species